rnacentral:sRNA from 1 species
ACUUUUAUUUACGUUUAAAGAAGUUUCAUGGCAGCAGCUAGCUAUAGAAAACUCAACAAAUAAAGUUUUAAUUUUACCUCAAGUCGGUUGUUCUAUAUUAGAAGACAUCAAGAAAAAAGCAACUAUAAGUUUCUUAAGUGUUUUGAAGGAAUCAUCCUCAUCGGAAAGCUACGCUGAACCCAACACCGUUUCUUUGAAUUUGUUAAGGAGGGAAGAUUGAAUCGGUCUAGCUGGACAGUUAAACAAUUGGCGCACAGUGGGACUAGAAAAAAUUAGUCUUCAUAUAUAUAUUUCACAAUAAUUCUAUUACUAAUUUGUAUAAAUUUUCCUUUUCUGUUUUUCUUCCUCAUCCUCUAUGGGAACCAGGUGCUGCUUUCAGGUAAAAGCAUGGCGUGCUGUGCCGGGCUGUAUCAUUGUCAGUGCCCAUGAUGAAUGUUCAUGGAAUUCAGCAUACAGGUUCAAGGCCAGAAGUAUUAUAGAUGAUUUUCCGUUCGAAGAUUUCCAUCUCUUUGGCUACUGAUGGGGAAACAGUAAACCAUAUUUGAAAUCCGUAUGAUAGCAUAGGUCUGAUGGCCAUUUUGUAUAGCAACAACUUUGUGGGUUGGGUGUUGACCGGGCAUGUGUAUUAAACUUCAGUAAUGCCUGGGCAUUUGAUUUUGGAUUCCACUGGGACUCCAUCAAAGGUGUUGCAGGACUUUAUCGCGGGCGAUUUGCAUAUAGAAUUGGCUAUGAGUUAUGUGUCGUAUGAGGAAAAUCAUGCAGGAAAAAAUUAAAAAGAUGUGGAGCUAACACACUUUCUUGCAGUACUCCACUAUUAACAGGUCCUAUAUCAGAAGAGAUAUUUUGGAUCUCAACACAAAAUCUUCGAAUUGAAAAGAAACUGUGUAUUGUUUUAACCAGGUAAGGAUCCAACUCAAGGUCAAUAAGUUUGUAUAAAAUGCCUUGGUGAUUUACAGAAUCAAAAGCUUUUUCAAUGUCAAGGGAAAUAGCAAUUGUACAUGUUUGGUUUCACAGGUUAGUAACAAUAUCAUUGUGAAAUUUCAACAACACAAGCAUGUUGUGUUGAAUGCGCUUUUCUAAAGUCAAAUUGAAAAUCGGAUAUUGGCUCAAUCACAAAACUGUUUUAAAUUUUUUCCUUAAUGAUUGUUCAAACAAUUUCCCGACAUUGGACAGAAGAGAAAUCGGACGAUAUUCAGCUGGAGUCAUGGAAUGAGUUUUCUUUUUGAUAGCGAUUAUUUUUGCCACUUUCCAAUCUAUGGGAAAGUAUCCAUUGUUCAAGCAAUUGUUGAAAAUGCAGGAGAGUAAAUUUAAUGUGGAGUAGGGGAAUCUCUUUAUUAGAAAAUUUGAAAUUCCAUCGAGGCCGCUCGAUUUUUUAUUAUUCGUAGAUUUAAUAAUGCUUUUGAUUUUUGCAGUAUCGGUGAAAUGGAAGUUAUCUUGAUUUUGAAGGGCGUUAAAUUCGUCAUCAAAUGUAAAAAUGUGACGGGGGAUGGCAAUUCAAUACCCUAGAAUUGAAAUCUUCAACUGGACGUGGGGGUAAUCUUCUACUGAAUGUGUUCGAGUUAAACUCGCGGAACUGUUGGGCUAUAUCGGAACUAUUGAGUAUGUUAUUAUCAUGGACAAUUUGCUGACAAAAAGGUGAUUUAGAUUUCCCUGUGAUUUGGUAAAUCUUUUUAAAAGCGGAUGGACCAGGUUUAAUAGUUUGUAAUUUUUUGUCGAAUUUUUCUGCUUGUUCUAUGUUGACAGUUUCCUUUAUUAUUAUUUUUACCAGUUGUAUCUGAUAAGAAAGAAGUUUGUACUCACUACUUGUUCUAUUUCCAGAACGAUGAAAUAUCAUUUUUAUUCUUUCUGCUAAAGAUGUUUAAUUUUGUAGAGCUUUUUAGCCUUUUCGGAAAGAGGAAAUUUGUUGUUAUGGAUUUGAACCUGCUUUGUGUGACGAUUAUGUUGGAAGAGCAAAGAGGCAUAAUAUGGCAAGAAGCUGAGUCCAUGUCUUAUAUAAAAUGGCUCCAGUAUUAAUCCUUAUAUGAUGUAAAAGUACGUGGAAUUCUCAUAAGGACCUCGAGAUGAUCUAGACGGAGGGACAAUUUGAUUGGGAAAUGAUAUGAGAAUGAUGGUAAAGAUGUUAAAAAAAAUUUGGUACUAUUUCGUUUAAGAGAUGAGGGCUAACAAGAAAAUGGUCCAAAAAUGAAGACCAAUUUGGAUAUGAUGACGUAGAGCCACAUAUUCGAGCCACGUCAAGGUUGUUGUCCUCUAAUCAUCUUCGCAAAAGUCUACCGUUUGCAUUUUCCGUUGCAUCUCCCCAUGUCUGACUUUUUGAGUUCAAGUCACCUCCCAGGAUAAAUCCAUCAAAAUUUCCGUAAAUUUGGGUGACUUUGGAAAGAUCUGCCUCAAUUUUAUGACUUUGAUAAUUACAUUGGACGUAAAUCGAUCCAAUCAAAUAUUUCUUGCAGACGUUAUUGUUCAAAAAUUCUAUUUGAGCUAUUCCAGGAUCGUUAAGGAAAAUUCGGUUAAACUGAAUCGGAUUUUUAACAACAAUGGCGACUCCAGUAGAUGAGUUGUCAUAGAUGAAAUUAUAUCCAUCUAAUUUUAUCUUCUUUCUCUUCAGAUUGCACUCCUGUAUGAAUCCCAUAUCUAUUUUGUUACGUUGGAGAAUGUUCGUUAGCUCUAUUUGGAGACUGGCUUCAAGAAGAGACAUUACAUUUAGGCUCAAAAAUUCUGUUUUGGCCUCGGGUUUGGACAUAGUCGAAUACUCAGAGGGGAAUAUGUUAACCUCUUGUUCCAUUGUCAAUUCCUCUGGUUCUAGAAACAGCGAAGCCAUUUUCAGAAACUGUUCGAUAACAGGAGGCUUGUUUUGCUGGAAAUUAUCUCGCAGUGAAGAACCGGAUUGGAAAAGACUUGAGAAUGUUUGCCCCGCCAUUCUCAUGGACAUGUCCAUAGCUCUAUUUACGUUGCCCUAGCCUGAGCCUUUUCUUUAGUCGCUUUUGCAAUUCUUUGCUGGCGAGCAGCAGCGUACUUUUUGUAAGUCGGACAUCCACGCCAAUUCGCUGGAUGGCCUGUAUCACCGCAAUUAUUACAAAAGGGAUUCACGGAAUCUUCCCUCUUGUAUUGGCACUCGCCUGGGCCAUUAUUUUGAUCGCAUUUCACACAUCUGGCAUCUAUGGCAUUGGAUAUCAGACUCUUUCUUUUUUGGCUUUUCCCAAGUGACAAUUUAAUUCUGCAAUCCUCCAAUGGUAGAUAUGUCAGAGAUCCAGUAUCAUUAUUUUUCAGUGUCUUGUAUUUCACUACAUUGGCAACAGUAUCUGGAAUUUUCUCGUUUAAUUCAGCUUUAAUGUCAUCUAUUUCAGUGUUUGCAGUAAGCCCUCUUAAAACAAAGGAAACUUGUUUCAUUUCUUUCGGUGUGAAAGAAUAGGAGUGUACUCCUUUAUCUCGCAUAACCGCCAUCAUCGAGGAGUGAACAGAUGGGUCAGAGAAAUAAAUCUUGCUCUUAGUUUUAUUAAUAUUUUUUACCUUGAAAGAGGCAGUACCAAUUGUAUCCCUAAAGGAGUCGACAAGGGCUUUUACAUUAACAUUGUAAAUAAAUAUCGGUGGACACCAUCUUGGUUUUGAUUAA